rnacentral:lncRNA from 1 species
AACACCCUAGUCGUGCCAAGGUGAUUGGCGGCACUAAAGGUGCCAAAGUGAUUGGCUGCACCAAAGGUGCCAAAGACAUUGGCAGCACCAAUGUUAUAAUAGAGCCGGUCGGUUGUUGGGGGGAGAAGGAGAGGGAAAGAAAGAAAGAAAGAAAGAAAAGAAGGUGAGGAAAGAAAGAAAAAGAAGGAAAGAAAAGGAAUGGAGAAGGGGAAAAAAAAGAAAGAAGAAGAAGAGGAAAUGAGAAGAAAAAAGAAAGAAAAAGAAGGAAAGAAAAGAAAAGGAGAAGAGAAAAAAAAAGAAGAAGAGGG